GUAAUGGCAAGGAUGAAGGAAGCCACGUAGCGAGACAGCCGAGCCUACGGACAGAAACUUGGUACAAGGCUAAAUGGGAAUGGGCAUGACUGCACCACAAGUUGAAGCCCGAAUGGUAAACGUACUCCCCAAAGCAGUAAGCCAAGAGGUUGUG
rnacentral:ncRNA from 1 species